rnacentral:rRNA from 1 species
UACGUAGGGGGCAAGCGUUGUCCGGAAUCAUUGGGCGUAAAGAGCGCGUAGGCGGCCCGGUAAGUCCGCUGUAAAAGUCCAGGGCUCAACCCUGGAAAGCCGGUGGAUACUGUCGGGCUAGAGUCCGGAAGAGGCGAGUGGAAUUCCUGGUGUAGCGGUGGAAUGCGCAGAUAUCAGGAAGAACACCAAUGGCGAAAGCAGCUCUCUGGGACGGUACUGACGCUGAGACGCGAAAGCGUGGGGAGCGAACAGG